AUACGAAGGUGGCAAGCGUUGUUCGGAAUCACUGGGCUUAAAGAGCACGUAGGCGGAUUUUCAAGCGUCAUGUGAAAUUCCUCGGCUCAACCGGGGACGUGCAUGGCGAACUGUUGAUCUUGAGGCGGGGAGGGGCAAGUGGAACUCUUGGUGGAGCGGUGGAAUGCGUAGAUAUCAAGAGGAACACCGGAGGCGAAAGCGGCUUGCUGGCCCCGCUCUGACGCUGAGGUGCGAAAGUCAGGGUAACAAACGGGAUUAGAUACCCCGGUAGUCCUGACCGUAAACGAUGUGCACUAGGUUGAAGGUUUUGACGAACUUUCGGCCAAAAUGAAAACAUUAAGUGCACCGCCUGGGAAGUACGGUCGCAAGGCUAAA
rnacentral:rRNA from 1 species